rnacentral:rRNA from 1 species
AAAACUUACCAGGUCAAGACAUGGGCGUGAUUGACACGCUAAUGACUUUUCUCGAUUCCAUGGAUGGUGGUGCAUGGUCGCACUUAGUUGGUGCAGUGAUUUGUCAGGUUUAUUCCGGUAACGAACGAGACCUCGGCCUUGUAAAUAGCUAUGCUGCUUACAGGGACAUUGGCGGCUACGCCAAGGAAGCUCGAGGCAAUUGCAGAUCUGGAAUGCCCUAAGAUGUCCUGGGUCGCACGCGUGCUACAAUGACGCCACGAACGAGCUUGCGUGAUGAAAGUUACGCAUAAUCAGCAGUCGGCGUCUUAAGGGAUAGUCUCUUGUAACUGUGGGACUCCAACUAGGAAUGUCUCGUAAGCACAAGUCAACAUCUUGUGUUGAUUACGUCCCUGCUCUUUGUACACACCGCCCGUCGCUCCUACCGAUCGAGUGUUUAGGUGAAUUUGAUGGACGUAAGGAAGUCAAAUAAACCUGAGCACUAGAGAAGAGAAGUCGAGAUC